rnacentral:rRNA from 1 species
UGCAGUCGAACGAGAUCUUCGGAUCUAGUGGCGGACGGGUUAGUAACGCGUGGGAACGUACCCUUCACUACGGAAUAGUCCCGGGAAACUGGGUUUAAUACCGUAUACGCCCUUCGGGGGAAAGAAUUUCGGUGAGGGAUCGGCCCGCGUUAGAUUAGUUAGUUGGUGGGGUAAUGGCCUACCAAGACUACGAUCUAUAGCUGGUUUGAGAGGAUGAUCAGCAACACUGGGACUGAGACACGGCCCAGACUCCUACGGGAGGCAGCAGUGGGGAAUCUUAGACAAUGGGGGCAACCCUGAUCUAGCGAUGCCGCGUGAGUGAUGAAGGCCUUAGGGUCGUAAAGCUCUUUCGCCUGUGAUGAUAAUGACAGUAGCAGGUAAAGAAACCCCGGCUAACUCCGUGCCAGCAGCCGCGGUAAUACGGAGGGGGUUAGCGUUGUUCGGAAUUACUGGGCGUAAAGCGCACGUAGGCGGAUUAGUCAGUCAGAGGUGAAAUCCCAGGGCUCAACCCUGGAACUGCCUUUGAUACUGCUAGUCUUGAGUUCGAGAGAGGUAAGUGGAAUUCCGAGUGUAGAGGUGAAAUUCGUAGAUAUUCGGAGGAACACCAGUGGCGAAGGCGGCUUACUGGCUCGAUACUGACGCUGAGGUGCGAAAGUGUGGGGAGCAAACAGGAUUAGAUACCCUGGUAGUCCACACCGUAAACGAUGAAUGCCAGUCGUCGGCAAGUAUACUUGUCGGUGACACACCUAACGGAUUAAGCAUUCCGCCUGGGGAGUACGGUC